rnacentral:rRNA from 1 species
GGUGAACGCUGGCGGUAGGCCUAACACAUGCAAGUCGAACGGCAGCACAGGAGAGCUUGCUCUCUGGGUGGCGAGUGGCGGACGGGUGAGGAAUACAUCGGAAUCUACUCUGUCGUGGGGGAUAACGUAGGGAAACUUACGCUAAUACCGCAUACGACCUACGGGUGAAAGCAGGGGAUCUUCGGACCUUGCGCGAUUGAAUGAGCCGAUGUCGGAUUAGCUAGUUGGCGGGGUAAAGGCCCACCAAGGCGACGAUCCGUAGCUGGUCUGAGAGGAGGAUCAGCCACACUGGAACGGAGACACGGUCCAGACUCCUACGGGAGGCAGCAGUGGGGAAUAUUGGACAAUGGGCGCAAGCCUGAUCCAGCCAUACCGCGUGGGUGAAGAAGGCCUUCGGGUUGUAAAGCCCUUUUGUUGGGAAAGAAAUCCAGCUGGCUAAUACCCGGUUGGGAUGACGGUACCCAAAGAAUAAGCACCGGCUAACUUCGUGCCAGCCGCCGCCGUAA